AUGUCAAUGCGUUGGAAAUUUUUGAGCAUUGCAGAUCUGAGAGCAUCCUGGAUGUAUCUAUUAAGUGUGCACCUGACACCAUGUUCCGGGAAGAAGGUUGUUUGCUGGAUCCAUUCGGUGGCAAGAGCUAUCUCUGUGAUCAGGCGAUUAAUUGAUGUCCGGCUGAAAUGGUGGUCAAAACUACCUAAUGGUGAGCCCCCUGAUGACUGCUAUUCUAGUGUUACUCCUUUUUCUUCACUGGUGACUCCCUCUUUUUAUGUUGUUUGUUCAUUGGAAUCUACUGAGCAUCAAUUUCUGGCUAUUCCUGAACAAGUCAGUGAGUUGGCUGGCACUUUUGGUCUUGACAAAUUUUUGAGCACUAGUAAUAUGGUAUGUGAAAUCCAAAUGCAUUGGAAACUUUCUGAGCAUCGAGCACGGGAUCUUGCUGACCAAAACGAGGAAUUAUGUCAUAUUGGAGAUCUUGUGUGGAACCUCCGCGGAUACUGCAUAAAGAUACUUUCUGUAGAGCUCUGGCACUGGUGGUCUCUGAAACUGGACACUGACAAUUCAUGUUUCAGUAAGCAUCUUUUGCAUGAAGGUAAGCAUUGGUUUUCAGAACUCUAUUCAUGCUCUAUUACUUCUGCUCCUGUACUACAACAUUCUUGGCUUGCUACUAUGGCUGCACCUCUGUGUCGGAGAAUGCGGAAAAUGGGUAUCGGUCUUCACUUAAUACAGUUCGAGCAAUUACUGUUGUUUGAUGAAGCUAGCAUCAAUGAUCAAUGGCAACUUGACUAUGACAAGCAUGAUGUUGUAUGUGCUAUCCCCCGGCAUGAGAUAUCACAGGGGGCCAUACAGAUCAUGAGCAUGACAGUACAUUGGCCAUUUUUGAAUCAAACUGAACUUAAGGGCAGUGGCCAGCUUGAUAAGCAAUGCAAUUCUGACCAAAUAACUAAUGGUUCAAGAGCUAGAAUUCAGCUUACAGUACUGAAUCAUGGUCUAUUCUCACACACGACAUACAGUCAGCAGCAUGGGAUCUUCCUUCUUCAGUUUGUGCCGGUGCUUUGUAAGAUGAUGUCAGCGUCUGAAACGAGGUCACUUAUAUCAUUAUGGUCUCAUCAUAUAUUAUUGGAUUAUAUGUUUGAGCAGAGCAUUUGUCAUGACUGGGAGUCACUGUUCUAUUCAAAUCAGCGAACACCCCUUGCCGAUUUUGGAAUGGUGGAUUCCAGUUCAGCUAGAAUGGGUAUCCCCAUUAUAUCUCAAGUUGUUUCAAAGCAUCACUGCGUGGUUCCUAUCUGUGCAAUUAUACAGACCGACAGUGAUCAGUGCAAGCGUGAGUGGCACCCACAAUGCUUUUUAAACAAAUGGCUAGAGGAGGUUGGAAAUGGCCAGAACAAGACGGAUUUUGUUCCCUUGGGUUGUUAUGUGUGGGGACUGCUGAAUCCUAAUUGCUAUCAAGUCAGUAUGAACUCUUGUUUCCAUGGAUAUUCUUUUCUUUAUGGUCUGGUGCUGCUUCAGUGGGAAAUUGCUUGGACACUUCAUUUGGAGUUCUCUUCUGGUGGCAACAACUCUGGCCAACCAUUCCGUCCACCAAGCACGACAUGUGCAAAAUCAACUGGAAAACAGGAAAUUAAUCAAGGAAGGAGGGGUGACAGAGCUGAUGUUGGGUACGUUUGCUGCAUCUACUACACUUGCUACUCUGAUCAAGACCCUGGUGGCCAUAACAACUACCCUGACACCUUCCAUCGGCAAGCCUCCGUUGAGCACGACUACUACCUCUGCGGCGUUGAAGUCUUCAUCAACUACGACUACCACCGUGACUACGACCAAGCCAAGCAACAUCGAGUGCAAUGGGAUCCGGGUGGUUCUCGGUGGCAUCGGCUUGGGGUCAAGCCAAAUCUCAAGGAGGGGGGGGGUGUUAGCAGCCCACCUUACCUGUAUGGGCUUGCCCCGUCUAGCUCAUGGGCCUGGCCUGGUUGA
rnacentral:rRNA from 1 species